ACUGGAGGUAGAGCUACUGAUUGGAUGCGGGGGCUUCACCGCCUACCAAAUCCUGACAAACUCCGAAUGCCAGUAGUAUGAUUUACAGCAGUGAGUGACUGGGUGCUAAUGUCCAGUCGCAAAAGAGGAACAACUCAGACCAGCAACUAAGGUCCCGAAGAAUAUGCUAAGUUGAUCUAACGAUGUUUUGUUGCAGAGACAGCUAGGAUGUUAGCUUGGAAGCAGCUAUUCAUUCAAAGAGUGCGUAACAGCUCACUAGUCGAGCGACAGAGCGUGGAUAAUAAACGGGCAUCAAGCAUAUCACCGAAGUUCUGGGCGCGAGAGCGCGGUAGGGGAGCAUUCCAUUCAGCGUCGAAGCAGUUUCGUGAGGAAUUGUGGAGCGUAUGGAAAAGCAAAUGUAGGCAUGAGUAACGAUAAUGCGGGAGAGUAACCCGCACACCGCAAGACCAAGGUUUCCUGAUCAACGCUAAUCGGAUCAGGGUUAGUCGGGUCCUAAGGGUAAGCCGAACGGCGAUCUCGAUGGAUAAUCGGUUAAUAUUCCGAUACUAACAUAUACCUCGAUGGAGAGACGAAGGAACGUAAGUGCCGCCACCUGACGGAAUAGGUGGUUAAAGGGCGUAGGUAUAGGGGCAGAUUAAGAGUUAGUCCUUGCUGAAACCUGACAGUACAGAGAGCCUACGGGCAAUUUGAUAGUGCACCCAAGUCGACUUCCGAGAAAAUCUUCUAAGUUAUAGUAUAUGUUACCCGUACCGUAAACCGACACAGGUGGUCGAGGAGAGUAUCCUAAGGUGCUCGAGUGAAUCACGGUUAAGGAACUAGGCAAAUUAACCCCGUAACUUCGGGAAAAGGGGUCCCUAUGAAAGUAGGGCGCAGCGAAGAGGUCCAGGCGACUGUUUAUCAAAAACACAGGGCUCUGCAAAUUCGAAAGAAGACGUAUAGGGCCUGACACCUGCCCGGUGCUGGAAGGUUAAGAGGGGAUGUCAUCGCAAGAGAAGCAUUGAAUCGAAGCCCCAGUAAACGGCGGCCGUAACUAUAACGGUCCUAAGGUAGCGAAAUUCCUUGUCGGGUAAGUUCCGACCUGCACGAAUGGUGUAACGAUCUGGACACUGUCUCAACCGUGAGCUCGGUGAAAUUGUAGUCCCGGUGAUGAUGCCGGGUACCCGCAACGGGACGAAAAGACCCCGUGAACCUUUACUAUAGCUUAACGCUGAAUUUGGGUACACAAUGUGUAGGAUAGGCCGGAGGCUUUGAAGCGGGCACGCCAGUGUUCGUGGAGCCGACGUUGAAAUACGGCCCUUUGUGUAUUUGAGUUCUAACCCUGCGAAGGGGACACCGUUUGGUGGGUAGUUUGACUGGGGUGGUCGCCUCCAAAAGCGUAACGGAGGCUUCCCAAGGUACCCUCAGCACGAAUGGUAACCGUGCGCGGAGUGCAAUAGCAUAAGGGUGCUUGACUGUGAGACAUACAAGUCGACCAGGUACGAAAGUAGGGUAUAGUGAUCCGGUGGUUCUGCGUGGACUGGCCAUCGCUCAAAGGAUAAAAGGUACUCCGGGGAUAACAGGCUGAUCGCCGCCAAGAGCUCAUAUCGACGCGGCGGUUUGGCACCUCGAUGUCGGCUCGUCACAUCCUGGGGCUGGAGAAGGUCCCAAGGGUUCGGCUGUUCGCCGAUUAAAGUGGCACGCGAGCUGGGUUCAGAACGUCGUGAGACAGUUCGGUCUCUAUCUGUUGCGGGCGUAGGAAGAUUGAGGGGUCCUGACUUUAGUACGAGAGGACCGAGUUGGACGAACCUCCGGUGUAUCGGUUAUGCUGCCAAGUGUACUGCCGAGUAGCCGCGUUCGGUCUGGAUAAGCGCUGAAAGCAUCUAAGCGCGAAGCCAUCCCCAAGAUAAGUCUUCCCUUGAGGGGCGUAGGAGACUACUACGUUGAUAGGCUGCAGGUGUAAAGACAGCAAUGUCAAAGCCGAGCAGUACUAAUUACCCGAUAGGCUUUCUU
rnacentral:rRNA from 1 species